rnacentral:rRNA from 1 species
CACGAAGUUAGCCGGGGCUUCUUCUCCGGGUACCGUCAUUAUCGUCCCCGGUGAAAGGAUUUUACAAUCCUAAGACCUUCAUCAUCCACGCGGCAUGGCUGCGUCAGGCUUUCGCCCAUUGCGCAAGAUUCCCCACUGCUGCCUCCCGUAGGAGUCUGGGCCGUGUCUCAGUCCCAGUGUGGCUGGCCAUCCUCUCAGACCAGCUACUGAUCGUAGCCUUGGUGAGCCAUUACCUCACCAACAAGCUAAUCAGACGCGGGCCGCUCCAAAGGCGAUAAAUCUUUCCCCCGAAGGGCUUAUCCGGUAUUAGCACAAGUUUCCCUGUGUUGUUCCGAACCUAAGGGUACGUUCCCACGUGUUACUCACCCGUCCGCCACUAUCCCGAAGGACCGUUCGACUUGCAUGUGUUAAGCCUGCCGCCAGCGUUCGCUCUGAGCCAGGAUCAAACUCU